rnacentral:rRNA from 1 species
CUACGGGACGCAGCAGUGAGGAAUUUUGCGCAAUGGGGGAAACCCUGACGCAGCAACGCCGUGUGAGUGAAGAAGGCCUUCGGGUCGUAAAGCUCUGUCAAGUGGGAAAAAAGUCUUUCGGUAAAUAGCCGGAAGGCCUGAUGGUACCACUAAAGGAAGCACCGGCUAACUCCGUGCCAGCAGCCGCGGUAAUACGGAGGGUGCUAGCGUUGUUCGGAAUUAUUGGGCGUAAAGAGCGUGUAGGCGGCUUGGUAAGUCAGAUGUGAAAGCCCUGGGCUCAACUCAGGAAGUGCAGUUGAUACUGCUUUGCUAGAGUAUGGGAGAGGAGAGUGGAAUUCCCAGUGUAGAGGUGAAAUUCGUAGAUAUUGGGAGGAACACCCGUGGCGAAGGCGACUCUCUGGACCAAUACUGACGCUGAGACGCGAAAGCGUGGGGAGCAAACAGGAUUAGAUACCCUCGUAGUC